UACGAAGGGGGCUAGCGUUGCUCGGAAUUACUGGGCGUAAAGGGCGCGUAGGCGGACAGUUUAGUCAGAGGUGAAAGCCCAGGGCUCAACCUUGGAAUUGCCUUUGAUACUGGCUGUCUUGAGUUCGGGAGAGGUGAGUGGAAUGCCGAGUGUAGAGGUGAAAUUCGUAGAUAUUCGGCGGAACACCAGUGGCGAAGGCGACUCACUGGCCCGAUACUGACGCUGAGGCGCGAAAGCGUGGGGAGCGAACGAGGAU
rnacentral:rRNA from 1 species